UGGGGAAUAUUGCACAAUGGGGGAAACCCUGAUGCAGCGACGCCGCGUGAGCGAAGAAGGUUUUCGAAUCGUAAAGCUCUGUCCUAUGAGAAGAUAAUGACGGUAUCAUAGGAGGAAGCCCCGGCUAAAUACGUGCCAGCAGCCGCGGUAAUACGUAUGGGGCGAGCGUUGUCCGGAAUUAUUGGGCGUAAAGGGUACGUAGGCGGUCUAUUAAGUCAGGUGUGAAAGCGUGAGGCUUAACCUCAUUAAGCACUUGAAACUGAUAGACUUGAGUGGAGGAGAGGAAAGUGGAAUUCCUAGUGUAGCGGUGAAAUGCGUAGAUAUUAGGAGGAAUACCGGUGGCGAAGGCGACUUUCUGGACUUUUACUGACGCUCAGGUACGAAAGCGUGGGGAGCAAACAGG
rnacentral:rRNA from 1 species